UUGGUCUUGUACAGGACUGUAGAGAUGAAUAAUUUUUUAUUUUAGAUAGAACCCACCUUAUAGACUACUUGUUGGCUUAAAUAUCGUGGAAACAAAACCAUAAUUAUACGCUGAUUAUGUUGGUCUGUAUAUGGAUUACUUGGUCUAUAUAUAUUAUGGUUGCUCUAAUACCCCUUGAAAAUGAUACUGCGCGGCUGUUCGUUCUAUCCAACACCACGCACAUGGACCUAUGGCCCAAUUAGACCAACGCAGAUGUCACCAAAGAAAGAAGAUCGUGUUGGUUCCUCUGACGCCUCAUCAUUUCCAUCGCCUCUGCAUGCACCGGCCGCUCGCUGCUACGCUCGCCGCUGCUUUCGCUGCUACGCUUGCUGCUGCGCUCAUUGAUGCUCUCCAGGAUGGACGCAUGCUCGCAUCCAGCUUGCUGCUACGCCUGCCUAUUCGCGCUCUUUCCCUCCCUCCUCCCUCAGCAACCUCCCUGCUCCCUCAUCAGACACAAGGAUGACGGCGGCUCCAGCAAGAUAGGUCAGGUCUUUUCUAGAUUUGAGCCUCCUCCUCCUCCUUCUUCUCCUCCUCCUCCUCCUCCUAAUCCUCAUCCUUAUCCUUAUCCUCCUCCUCCUCUAGAUUUAAGGGACACAGUGGUGACUAAAGGUCUGGUGAACUCCUGCUUCCUCCGGC
rnacentral:lncRNA from 1 species